UACGUAGGUGGCAAGCGUUGUCCGGAUUUAUUGGGUUUAAAGGGUGCGUAGGCGGUUCUUUAAGUCAGUGCUGAAAUACUCCAGCUUAACUGGAGGGGUGGCAUUGAUACUGGGGAACUUGAGUGUAGUCGAGGUAGGCGGAAUUGACGGUGUAGCGGUGAAAUGCUUAGAUAUCGUCAAGAACACCGAUAGUGAAGACAGCUUACUAGACUACAACUGACGCUGAGGCACGAAAGUGUGGGGAUCAAACAGG
rnacentral:rRNA from 1 species